UUUGAGUAGUUAAUUUUGCUCUAAACUUGGAGUUAUAGUUUUGGGAAAUUUACUGCAAAAGAAAUUUCAAAUUAAGGUUUUUUCCGGCCCAAACUCAAGGAUGGGGGAAAGAUACUCUGAGUUCAAUGGGAAUCAGGUGAAUCUUCAAUGGUGGUCUUUUGUGUUCUCUGCAUCGGAGGGAAUGUAUGAAGUCAGUGAGAGUUAACGUAAAGCGGCUAAAGAUGAUACUUUGCAUACCUUUUUUAGGCUAAGUUUAAGGCUUUUCUCGGUGUGUGCUUCGCUGUUCUAUUGAAGGCAGGUCAUGAAGCCGGUGAAGUUUUCGCCGGUGGAGGGACGGUGUGGCUGCGGCGGUUGGGGGGUUCAUAACCGGAAGUGGGGUGUCAUUUGCCCUUUUUCUUUUGUUCUGCGAUUUGCG
rnacentral:lncRNA from 1 species